rnacentral:rRNA from 1 species
ACUCCUGCGGGAGGCAGCAGUGGGGAAUAUUGGACAAUGGGCGCAAGCCUGAUCCAGCCAUGCCGCGUGAGUGAUGAAGGCCCUAGGGUUGUAAAGCUCUUUCACCGGUGAAGAUAAUGACGGUAACCGGAGAAGAAGCCCCGGCUAACUUCGUGCCAGCAGCCGCGGUAAUACGAAGGGGGCUAGCGUUGUUCGGAUUUACUUGGCGUAAAGCGCACGUAGGCGGACUAUUAAGUCAGGGGUGAAAUCCCGGGGCUCAACCCCGGAACUGCCUUUGAUACUGGUAGUCUUGAGUUCGAGAGAGGUGAGUGGAAUUCCGAGUGUAGAGGUGAAAUUCGUAGAUAUUCGGAGGAACACCAGUGGCGAAGGCGGCUCACUGGCUCGAUACUGACGCUGAGGUGCGAAAGCGUGGGGAGCAAACAGGAUUAGAUACCCCUGUAGUCCC